UACGGAGGGGGCGAGCGUUAAUCGGAAUUACUGGGCGUAAAGCGUGCGCAGGCGGCUCCUUAAGUCAGAUGUGAAAGCCCCGGGCUUAACCUGGGAACUGCGUUUGAAACUGGGGAGCUAGAGUGUAGAAGAGGGGGGUGGAAUUCCAGGUGUAGCAGUGAAAUGCGUAGAGAUCUGGAGGAACACCGAUGGCGAAGGCAGCCCCCUGGGCUAACACUGACGCUCAUGCACGAAAGCGUGGGGAGCAAACAGG
rnacentral:rRNA from 1 species